rnacentral:rRNA from 1 species
CCUUUGUACACACCGCCCGUCGCUACUACCGAUUGGCAUGCUUUUUGAGGAGUUCGGAGGGCCUAUAAGGAGCUGGAAACAGCACCUUACUGGCCCAAAGUUCUACGAAAAUGGUUUGCUAGAGG